rnacentral:rRNA from 1 species
AAUCAACGCUGGCGGCGUGCCUAACACAUGCAAGUCGAACGAGAAAGUGUAGCAAUACAUGAGUACAGUGGCGACCGGGUGAGUAACACGUGACUAACCUACCUUCUUGUGGGGAAUAACCUUCCGAAAGGAGGGCUAAUACCGCAUAACAUCGCGAGGUGAGAUUCCUUGUGAUCAAAGGAGUGAUUCGCAGGAAGAGGGGGUCGCGGCUGAUUAGCUAGUUGGUGAGGUAACGGCUCACCAAGGCAGUGAUCAGUAUCCGGCCUGAGAGGGCGCACGGACACACUGGAACUGAAACACGGUCCAGACUCCUACGGGAGGCAGCAGUGGGGAAUUUUGCGCAAUGGGGGAAACCCUGACGCAGCAACGCCGCGUGGAGGAUGAAGGUCUUUGGAUUGUAAACUCCUUUCGAUCGGGACGAUGAUGACGGUACCGGAAGAAGAAGCACCGGCUAACUCUGUGCCAGCAGCCGCCGUAACAC